UUAUGGAAAACAUGCAAUCGUGAAAAAUUAUCGGUAAUUUCAAAGCACUCGUGGUAUUACCCCCGAUAAGCUAAAAUUGUCAGUGCGAAUCAUUCACUUAUGAGUCAUAUUUUAAGGACGGAAUGACCUUAAAAUAAUCUAUCAAUUACCACGAGUGAAAACUUGAAUUGCAAUUUGGUUUAAGCGGCAUUGAAUUUGCCAAUGCUAGAACCAACCCUCAAUAUCGAACUGUUCAGUAUUGGUAUGACGAGUGGAGGAAACUUUAUUUGGGACGUCGGUUUGGCUUGGAAACCCUUGAGAACGUGAUAAUAAUAUUGUUGUAAAUAACAUUAAAAGUGAGGAUGUGGAUGAAGCCAUGAAAUAAUUUGGGGCUCCAAGGUACACCUUCGAUAAGAGGAAUCCCUUUGACCUAACAGAUCAUAAAUUUGUUAAACUCUUUAGAAUAUCCAAAAAUCUUUGCCGAGAGUUGGUGGAGAGCCUACAAGUGAAUCAGCUUUGUCAAUAAGGACAAAGGUUUUAGCGACGCUCAGAUUUUUUGAAACCGGUAGUUACCAAGAAGUCACUAUAUCAAAUAGCUUUGUCGGGAUUAGUCAAGCAUCAGUAAGCAGGGCUAUAACAAAAGUAUCCAAUGCUCUGAACGAAGCUCCUAUUGAAAAUCGUAUAAUUAAAUAUCAGCAAACAAUUGCAGAUUUGGAAGCAUUAAGGACAAGCUUCUAUGAAAAACGUGGAAUGCCAGGAGUAUGUGGGUGUAUAGAUUGUACCCAUUGCUAUUAUGGUUCCUCAUAACAAUGAUCCUAAUUUUCCGGAGCAUGUUUAUGUAAAUAGGAAAAAUUAUCAUUCCAUAAAAGUGCAAUUCGUGUGUGACUUAAAUCUUAAAAUAUUUAAUGUCAACUUCAAAUUUCCACUGGCGGCUAAACGUAGGAAUACGAUCCCUUUAAUGCGCAUGCGCGGACUCUAAGCGAUCAGAUGUUUAUUUUCAGAUUUGCUGUUUUGUUGAUUGAGGUUAGCAUUUUCCUUAAUUCGUGUGUAAAGGCUACAGGGUGUUCGAAAUUCUUUCAUACGUUACUCCAGAAAAAUGAAUAUGGAUUGUUUAUGCCGCAAUUAAGUUUUCGAAAUUUGAAUUUUGGACGAAAUCCAGGCACAAGCCAGUAUAAUAACAUUUAUCAAUAAUAUGAAAGUACUAGGAACUCGCAUGCUUAAUAGGAACUUUGGAAUUUGAUAUUGCCUUUGCACGCCUUAGCUGGGAAGGCCGAAUUGCAGAAGAAACAGGCACCAAUUUUGGAAGGUCGAUAGGUUUAAUAUAAAUACAUAAUAACAGAGCCAAGUACUUGUCUCUGCAUAAUAAUAGAUUUCAAAUACCGACAUUGUUAAAUACGAAAUAUGAACAUGAACGGCAUAGAUUAAGAGUGAGAUAGAUAGCGCCUACUCCACUGUUAAUCACCCAGCUGAUCAGCAGCUAAAAUCUGCAGUUAACGCAUGCGCAUCAAUGGGAUCGUAUUCCUACGUUUAGCCGCCAGUCAAAUUUCCAGGCUCAUGUCGUGACUGUCAUAUAUGAAGGCAAGCUCCUGUGUCAGAUUUAAUGGAAACCGUACAAAGGAGAAAUCCUAAGAAUAUGUUCUUUCUCUUGGGCGACUCAAGUUAUCCAACUCGUCUCUGGUUAUUAACGCCUAUUAAUAAUGCUUGCUCAUUCAUGAACUUGGACGAAGCACGGUUUAAUGACAGACUAUGCUCUAUUCGCUCUGUAAUUGAGAGGCGUAAUGGGGUGCUGAAGAAUCGCUUUUGAUGUCUUCUGCGUUAUCGCACUCUUCAUUACAGUCCCUCAAUGGCAAUCAAAAUACAAACGCUUGUUGCACUUUGCACAAUUUAUGCAUUGCGAAUAGAGAACCUGAGGUUGAAGAGUUACACCCCGUGGAACCGGAUUAUGGCAUGUAUGCUGAUAAUUAGUUCAAUUUUGUAAGACCUACUGCCAACAUAGAUCUAGCUGCUGCUAGAGCGCUACAGCAAAAUAUUAUAAAUACUCAUUUAAUUAGGUACUAAAAUAAGUUUGGGUGCGGAUAAAACUGAAUAAAAUUAAUAAACAAGUUGUGUAUUAUAGCGCGUUAUUUCGUAUUUGAACAGAGGCCACAAUCUGUUCAAAUACGAAAUUACACACUAUAAUACGAAAUUUGUUAAUUCAGUUAUAAAAUUAAUGUUGAUAUUAAUAUGUAAUUUCUAGGUAUUGAUACAUUCGGUAAGCUUAACAUCUUCACAAGAUGUGUAAUGCCUUGGUGGGAGCUGCUCAUUAAAUGUCUGCUGAUCAGCGCUUCGUAUCAAAUCAAUUUCUACAUCCGUGUUGUUCAAAUUGUAUCGGCGAAGCGCAAGAUAUUUGACGGAUGUAUUGCAUUUUCGAAGAUAAAAAGUUGGUUGGAUGUCCAGUAAUGUUAUGGUUUAUUGACUUCCGUUUUAGAGUUGUACCUAAUAUAUUUACAUUGUAAAAUU